rnacentral:rRNA from 1 species
GCCAAUGGCCAAAUUGCUCAGAAUGUGCCCGAUCUCAUUGGAUCUCAGAAGCUAAGCUGUUUUCAACGUGGAAAGUGCUUGGAUGAGAAACCACCGUACACAAGGUGUUGCCAUCGGCU